UCGUCAUGUGGAUUCAGCGUGAGCUCUGCCCCACCCGCUCUAUAGUUUGGCUAAUUGGGCGCGCGAAGAGUGAGGGAGCAGGAGGAGCGGAGCGAGUUUUCUCGUCCUUCCGGAGCGGGUGGGGGACGAGAGAAUCGGCGUGAUCUCGAAGAGGGCGGGAGUGCGGCUUCGUCGUCUCCAGUCGCGGUCUGCUGAUGUUCUUGGAAGGCUAGAGAAACUACCAUUUGCAAAAGAGGCAGAAGUCUGUUUCUAGAAUGUCAGUUGCACUUGUAUAAAUCUAGAUACAUCCCACUAUCAGAGAAUUUUUGUAAAAUGUUAUUUAUAUAAAGUAUACAAGUUAAAAAUUGCAGAUUCUGCAUUCAUUAGUCAGGUCCACAUAACAUUCGAAUUGAGCACCAUAACCACACUUGGGAACUGUUCUCUGUAUGUAGAGCAUAGCAACUCACCUGAUUUGAGUAGGCCCUAGCACUAUGGUAUAUCACUCAUUAAGGAUCAGAACUGGGUGUAAUUCAAGAUGUAGUUUUGACAUAACCUCUAUAUGUCAAUAUUCAUAUUUCAUAGCAAGUAUUAAGGCAGAUCUGAGGCAGUGUUAACAUAACCCUUCCACUCUCAUACUCUUGGCAAUAGGGAAGCAUACUUGAUAGUUACUUUCAAGCUGUUCUUCAGUAGAAGAUUUUAUAAAGUUUAGUCCUUAGCAUCAAGAGGUGAUGCAAAACCCAACAAGACACUUUUAUCAACUGUACGAGUGAAGAGAUGAUGUCAAGUGAUAGAUAAUUCUCCAGAAUGUUAGAUUGACUAAGUAAAACCAGCAGAAUAAAGUUUUACGAGUAGAAGAGAUUGAAAAGCAUAAACAAUUGAAGGGCUGAAAUGCCUGGUGGAAUUUUAAAAAGUCUUCAUCUGAUAGGAAAAAACACCACAACUAAGUGGCCAGAUGAGAUACUCUGGAAACAGGAUUCCACAACUGGUGAGCCACAGCUGAAAAGACCUGUAAAUUCUGAGAGAAGCUGCUGCAAUCAGAUCUGGAUCACUUCUGAGCUGAAAAGUGCCAUAUUGGUAUUGCUUAAUUUUCAACAUUACCUGAUAAAAUAGUUAGAAACCUAAAUUAUUGUGCCUGUUUUUACAUCACAAGAUCCCACCAUGGGUUAAUUUAACGGCAGAGGCUGUUGUGCCAGAUACCAGGACCACCUGCUGGUAUCCUGACUACUUGUGCCUAGUUUAUUUUACAUUUUUCUUUAUUUAAUUGUAGAAAUAAAUAAAUUUCUAUACUGCCCCUAUUCCCAAAACUUACCUGGGCAGUUGCAUCAUGGGAACCCAGGUAGCUGGGAUUAUUUGAGGGUUGGACAACCCUCAGAUAACCAUAAUGCAUGUAACAGGGCAAGUCAUCACAAACUGGGCACCACACAAAACUCUUUUCAUUGAUGCCCAGUAAAAGAAGAGAGCACCCAUAAUGGUGGGAUGUCAUAGGAACCAAUGACAAUGUCCUUGGGGGGGGGGGGAGUUACUGGAUAGCCGUUUUAGUCAAAUACACACCAAAUGUUUCACUGUUAAUUGGCAGUAGUACCAGAUACUGCAGUUUGAGGUUUUGUCAUCCGUACCACCACCACCCAAUUUAUACUUCAUUUGUAGUAGUAUACGAAAACUUAGUAGCAAUUUAUUAAGUGCAAAGGUUAUAUAACUGCUCCCUCUCUUAACCAUUUUAAAUAUGGUGAGGCUUUUAAUAAUACACAAUUUUGCUUUUAAAGGUUUGAUACAAAGAACCAAAAGACCCAUCUGUAAAUAGAACUGAUCUAUGGUCCAUCUACUGCAGAGGAACACUUGGCAAAUGCAAUAAAUACAAUACUGUUUAUACUAGUAGUGAUAUAAAAGGCUUUCAAAAGGUUUUUUUUAAUGGUUCCAUCUCUAAGUACAUCUGAUACAUUGCUCAGUAAGACAAACCUUUAGUUCAGAAUCAAUAAAGCCACUCAAAGUCACACAAAACCUAGAGUGACCUAUCAUUCUCAUAGUGUCUUUGCUACCUCUGCUGUGGUCAGAUAAAUCACCUUCAGGCUGCUAAAUGAAUGACCAUGAAUUAACUAUUUACUGUUACAUCUUAAAUAAAAUUCUCAUGGCUUAAUUGAUUCAAGAAUUACUGUGAACUUCCCCUUUCAUAAAAGAAUGGCUUUUUUAAACAACAUCACUGUUGUGAUGGAAAAAAAUUAGAAUAAGCUAUUUGUUUCUACAUAAUAUAUAUAAAUUGAAAUUCUUCAGCCUAUCCCAACUAAUUCAUGUUUCAAUUGUACCCAGCUGCUUAAAUUGCGCUGCUCAGAGAUUGCCUUGAUCCCCAGGUGCAGGUAUUCCAUCUGUGCUGCUCUGAAAGACUAUUUACAGCAGAGGUUAGGCCAGUGAUUGCUGGGAUGGAAAACUCAUUUCUCAGCCUGGCUUUUAUUUACACUCUUAUUAAAGAUCCUUUCACUCAUGUUGGAAUGGCAGCUAGUGGCUGCAGCAAGCAUUUGGCACCAAGCCAAGCAGCAAAAUUACCAUGUCGAUGAAAGAUAGCCUGCUUCCAUUUUAACCUUUCACUGUUCCCUCCUUUCCAUCAACAUUUGCAUGAAGAAGAAUGAUUAUUGAACAAGAUAGACUGACAAAGGGAUGAGGAAGGCCUUGGCAACUGAACUCUCCAAAGAAAUUGGAUCACCAAUUUGGAAACAACUUACUGCUUUGUUAAUGUGUCAUUAUACUUAAUUACUAUUGGAAAUUAGUUUGAAGUAUUGGUGCUGUUCCCUGUUUUACUCACUUUGAAAUUAUUGUUUAACAUACAGAAAGUGUUCUCUGUUUCACAAAUCUGUUUCAUAAAAGAAUUGCAAAAGGAAAUCCU